rnacentral:rRNA from 1 species
GAUGAACGCUGGCGGCGUGCCUAAUACAUGCAAGUCGAGCGAACGGACGAGAAGCUUGCUUCUCUGAUGUUAGCGGCGGACGGGUGAGUAACACGUGGAUAACCUACCUAUAAGACUGGGAUAACUUCGGGAAACCGGAGCUAAUACCGGAUGAUAUUUUGAACCGCAUGGUUCAAAAGUGAAAGACGGUCUUGCUGUCACUUAUAGAUGGAUCAGCGCUGCAUUAGCUAGUUGGUAAGGUAACGGCUUACCAAGGCAACGAUGCAUAGCCGACCUGAGAGGGUGAUCGGCCACACUGGAACUGAGACACGGUCCAGACUCCUACGGGAGGCAGCAGUAGGGAAUCGUCCGCAAUGGGCGAAAGCCUGACGGAGCAACGCCGCGUGAGUGAUGAAGGUCUUCGGAUCGUAAAACUCUGUUAUUAGGGAAGAACAUAUGUGUAAGUAACUGUGCACAUCUUGACGGUACCUAAUCAGAAAGCCACGGCUAACUACGUG